rnacentral:rRNA from 1 species
AACUUUCACCACCGGAUCUCUUGGCUCUCGCAUCGAUGAAGAACGCACCGAAAUGCGAUAAGUAAUGUGAAUGCAGAAUUCAGCGAAUCAUCGAAUCUUUGAACGCACCUUGGCGCUCUUGGUAUUCCGAAGAGCAUGCCUGUUUGAGUGUCA